GCCCCAGUCGCCACUAUCCGGGCAGCCACGUACACAGAGAAAGACAGGUUUUGUUGAGCUGAAUCGCAUUGACUACUCGCCACUGAGUGCAAACUCAACAUUUGGAUGACUGAGGCUGCUUCAGAAACAAGAGAGAGAAAAAGAGCGAUGACAAGUAAAGAACAUCUCGUUUGGAUGUACUAAAACUUUGGACCACAGAGAGAAUUUGUGCCAGGCUGGUUAGCUCCAGGAACUUUUCUUCUGCACACAUAUACACACACCUCUGUUCCCGCAAACCCCUGCUUGAAUGACAGCUACCUUUUCUGGACCACAAAACUUUUAUUUGAACAAUGAAAAAAAGAAACUAUAUCCAACCUACUCAAUGACCAACACCACUGAACUACUGAAAGAAAAAUGGAUGUCAGAAGUCCAACAAGAACAAGAUGAACGUUUUGUAAAAACUGAAUAGAAGAUUGCCAUAGGAGAUCUUUCUGUAAGAUGGUUUACGUUUGGAACAGUUGACUUUUGAAGACCAAUUCAUAAAAUUUCAUACAAGAAGGAACAAAAUUCUCAAAGAGAGAAUGCAAGUAGGGAAUGUGAUAUGUUCAGGACACAAAUUGGCUACGAUUUGGGAUGGCCAUCUUUAGCUCGGAGUGCCUGUCCGUUUCCAGGGGAUACUGUUGCCACGGAGAGCCAUAGCAACGGUCUCCAGGGAGUCUUACCUGUCAUUCCUUAGUUGUUUUAGGGACCAAAAGACCAAACGUUUAUAUUGCUGAGGACUUGUAGCUCUAAUAUACUCGGACCACUGCAUCUCUUUCAGCCAGUAUUAACUGACUGAGGAGUUGCACUUAAAAGAAAUGUACAUUUUGAAUAUAUACAACACAUGUAUAUAUAUACAUAUAUAUUGCUGAUAUGCUUUUUGAAUACAGGCAAAACUAUUUCAGAUGACCAAAUGGGGUCUCACACUUCGCUAGUUUACAAUUAUUCAAAAGGUUUAUUUUAUUUUAUUUUAUUUUUUCCUCUUCUCAUUUUGUCUCGGGAGGGAUGAAGAGUGCAUGGGAGGGGCUGCUCCGUAUCACAGCCUUAUCUUUUUUAACUUGACAUCCUAACCUCAUAGAUAGAAUAACACCAGAAACGUUUGAAAUAUAUGAACUUGUUUAUAUUUGCGGUACAUAUAUAUGUAUAACAAGCAUUCAAGCAAAUGUAUUCAUAUAUACAGUAUAUAUGGAUAAAUAGAUAUUAAUCACAAAUAUAUGUAUUUAUAUGCACAUAUUUUAUAUAUGUGUGUCUGUACAUAGAAAGACUACUGACUAUGUUGAGCUGUAAUUUUUUUGUACAUUUUAGCUGGAGUUUGAAACAUUGCUCUGCUUGGGAAGAAUCGCAUUUCCGGCAGCUCCCAAAAACUGCAGGCAUUCCUAUCUCUGAUUACCUAUAUGCUGACACACAACACACUGCUAAAAUAUACAUGUGUGAGGAUGCACACGUGGUGUAAAUAUGUCAUGAAAAAUGCAAAAAGCCACAUCUCAGUAGCAGGCUUUAAGAGAAUCAGGCUAAAUGACUUUAGAGGAAAAGGACAAUUAUCUUCGACUCUAUUCCAAACAUAUCGUUUUGAGCUUCACGUGCACAUACAAGCACUCACACAGACUUUGAAACUUGAACCAAAAUGAAUAUGUCUCACAACCCUUGCUGUGUUUUGCAUACAGUUAAAAUGCAUGUAGCAUAUGGGCUGUCACUGCGUCAAGGUGUGCCUUGUCACGUGCAGAAUCUGCCAUCAAGCAUUGUGCUCUCAAAAAAGAAAAAAAAAAACACAACAAAACAGAAAGAACAGAGAAAAAUAAAUAAAUAUACACUACUGCAAGCAGCCAGUGCUCUAUUAUGAUGUCAAAACUACAGUCGGAUCAUAUCACUUCUCAGACGCGCAGAGCGUUUCAUGCAUGGCAAAUAUAACAAAAUGUCCAAAUACAGUUGGUCCGUCGCUGAAAAACAAAAAUGCAUUUGCAGCUAAUGUAGAAUCAUGUGCUUAUGUUUCAGAUAAAAGUGGGCAUUAGGUAACCUGUUAGCACAGGUGCUAAAUAUCAAAAUUGUGUGCAGGCCGCCUGUGACUGCACUCCGUUGGUCAUGGUCAGAAAUAGGGUUAAGUUCAGGGUCACCACGGACAUGUCAUGAUCUAAUAAAUGAUUAAGGUUUGCAGAUGUCAUCUUACUGCUCCUGACGGGAAGUUCUACAGGUUGUGAAGAUGUAAUAAUGAUUAUAAUGUUGUAAUUACAACACUGGCUUCCCUUUGAACAGAAUGAAGGAGAGGAUUUUAUGUAUUUUCCCAUCCAGCAGUUAAUGUCGCUAAUACUUGACAUGAAGCAUAUCUUUUACAAGCUGUUAUAAUGCCUUACAUAAAUCAUCCACCAAUUAAAAACAAACAUAAAAAGCAUAAUGAAACUGUAAAA